rnacentral:lncRNA from 1 species
ACUUAAUUACUAUAUUUUUUGAUGUCGUUUCAUGCAAAGAUUGUUGAUCUCACGUGGUCAUACUUAUUAUUUUUUCUAGUACUUAUCACAUUUGUUGCACUUACUUAUCAUAUUAGUAAGUACUCCCUCCGUUCCAAAAUAAGUGACUCAAAUGUGACUCAAUUUUGCAUUAAAGUAGUGUAAAAUUGAGUCAUUUUUGAGUCACUUAUUUUGAGACGGAGGAAGUACUAAGCAAGCGUAGUUGCAAAAAAUCUAUACACACAGUUGCGAAGUUGACAACUAAGUUAAUUAAAUGUGGCUAUUAAGUGUCUCAUAAUCUAACAACUAAAUAAUAGUAAUCUGGCAACUAUCGACG